AUUGAACGCUGGCGGCAGGCCUAACACAUGCAAGUCGAGCGAGCGGCGGGCGGGUGAGUAAUGUAUGGGGACUGUGCGAUAGAUGGGGAUCACUACUGGAAAAGGUAUCUAAAACCGCAUACUAUCGGCUAAGCCAUAUGGGAUUAGCUAGUAGGGGAGGUAAUGGCUCAACUAGGCGACGAUCCCUAGCUGUUCUGAGAGGAUGAUCAGCCACACUGGGACUGAGACACGGCCCAGACGCCUACGGAGGCAGCAGUGGGGAAUAUUGCACAAUGGGCGCAAGCCUGAUGCAGCCAUGCCGCGUGUAUGAAGAAGGCCCUAGGGUUGUAAAGUACUUUCAGUCGGGAGGCGUUACCGACAGAAGAAGCACCGGCUAACUCCGUGCCAGCAGCCGCGGUAAUAC
rnacentral:rRNA from 1 species